rnacentral:rRNA from 1 species
GGCGUAGAGGGCUCGCAGGCGGUUUCUUAAGUCUGAUGUGAAAGCCCCCGGCUCAACCGGGGAGGGUCAUUGGAAACUGGGGAACUUGAGUGCAGAAGAGGAGAGUGGAAUUCCACGUGUAGCGGUGAAAUGCGUAGAGAUGUGGAGGAACACCAGUGGCGAAGGCGACUCUCUGGUCUGUAACUGACGCUGAGGAGCGAAAGCGUGGGGAGCGAACAGGAUUAGAUACCCUGGUAGUCCACGCCGUAAACGAUGAGUGCUAAGUGUUAGGGGGUUUCCGCCCCUUAGUGCUGCAGCUAACGCAUUAAGCACUCCGCCUGGGGAGUACGGUCGCAAGACUGAAACUCAAAGGAAUUGACGGGGGCCCGCACAAGCGGUGGAGCAUGUGGUUUAAUUCGAAGCAACGCGAAGAACCUUACCAGGUCUUGACAUCCUCUGACACUCCUAGAGAUAGGACGUCCCCUUCGGGGGCAGAGUGACAGGUGGUGCAUGGUUGUCGUCAGCUCGUGUCGUGAGAUGUUGGGUUAAGUCCCGCAACGAGCGCAACCCUUGAUCUUAGUUGCCAGCAUUCAGUUGGGCACUCUAAGGUGACUGCCGGUGACAAACCGGAGGAAGGUGGGGAUGACGUCAAAUCAUCAUGCCCCUUAUGACCUGGGCUACACACGUGCUACAAUGGACAGAACAAAGGGCAGCGAAACCGCGAGGUUAAGCCAAUCCCACAAAUCUGUUCUCAGUUCGGAUCGCAGUCUGCAACUCGACUGCGUGAAGCUGGAAUCGCUAGUAAUCGCGGAUCAGCAUGCCGCGGUG